CCUACGGGUGGCAGCAGUGAGGAAUAUUGCACAAUGGGGGGGACCCUGAUGCAGCAACGCCGCGUGAAGGAAGACGGUUUUCGGAUUGGAAACUUCUAUCAAUAGGGGAGUAAGAAAUGACGAUACCUCAAUAAGAAGCCCCGGCUAACUACGUGCCAGCAGCCGCGGUGAUACGUAGGGGGCAAGCGUUAUCCGGAAUUACUGGGUGUAAAGGGAGAGUAGGCGGCAAGGUAAGCGAUAUGUGAAAGCCUUAGGCUUAAACUGAAGAUUGGAUAAAGAACUAGCUAGCUAGAGUACAGGUGAGGAAAGCGGAAUUCCUAGUGUAGCGGUGAAAUGCGUAGAUAUUAGGAAGAACACCAGAGGCGAAGGCGGCCUUAUGGACUGAAACUGACGCUGAGGCUCGAAAGCGUGGGGAGCGAACAGGAUUAGAUACCCGAGUAGUC
rnacentral:rRNA from 1 species